GGAGUGCUCUGCUCAGUUGAGGCAGAGGAAAGAAAAUCUUAGGGAGCACCGACUCGAAGGAAAGGAGAUGGCCAUUAAUAGAUUACAAAUAUACAUGUAAAGCAUUUUUCGACUAUUCUUGGAUAUAAGGAGCACCAGGGUCCCCUCGCCAUCCCUCCACCCCCGCCCCUUGGCCCCAUGCCCCCCACCCUCUAACCCCCUCCUCCAGAGGUAAGGGCCUCAGUGUGUGUUCUCUCCCCUCCUCUACCCACCCCAGUAGCGGACACACAACACAAGCGUCUCCCCGGCUUCCGCUUCCUCCGCGCUGCUGCAUCACUGCUGGGGUAUUCACGCUCCAGGCUGUUUUCUUUCAGAGACUAGAAAAAUAUGCAAAUGGCUAUUGUUAAGAGCCAAAAGUAGAGGGUAUUUUUUCUCCCUGUACGCCGCUUGUGUUCCUGGUGAGUCUAAUGUGCAGAGAGGGCUGAGGGGUUUCCUUCAGUCUUUAGUCUCUCUCUCUCACACAGGCUCACAAAGAGCUGGAGAUGACCAGGUACAGAGGAAGGAUAUUAGAAAUAUUCUCUCGGGAAGCCAUUGUCUCUUUCCAUUGUGGUCAUAUUCGUAAGAGAAUAUGAUCACAUCUGUGUAAGAGAGAGAGAGAGAGAAAGAGAAAGAGAAAGAGAAAGAGAAAGAGAAAGAGAAAGAGAAAGAGAAAGAGAAAGAGAAAGAGAAAGAGAAAGAGAAAGAGAAAGAGCGAGAGGGAGAAAGAGAGAGAGAAAGAGAGAGAGAGAGAGAGAGAGAGAGAAAAGAGAGAGAGAGAGAGAUAGAAAAAGAGAGAUAUAGACAGAGAAAAAGAGAGAGGUAUUAGGAUGAAAUCCAAGCUUCACCACGGGUAGUAGCAGCUAGGAAGUCAGGCCUUUAUAUAAAGUCCCUGAGCAGAGAGCGAGAGAGAGAGAGAGUGAGAGAAGAGAGAGAAAGUAAGUAAGGAGCCACAUUUGUAAAGCCCUCACGGUCUCAAGCAGGAAGACUUUUUGAAGUGAUUAUGGAGACAGUUCAGAUCAAAGGAUUUGACAAGUCUGAGUGCUCGCCAAAUACGAGCCGGGCUAAUCACGCUGAAGCCCUCCGUACAAGACACCACUGGUCCCUCCAGCUGCUUUGCAAAUGUAACGUGACACUUAGGGAUAAACAGAUUAUCAGGGGACAUAAGAGAAAAAAUCCUCUCAGACUUGUAGAAGUGAAAUAGUUUAUUUAAUGAACUUGGAGACUACCAAUGUACUGUAUAUGGUGGUGUUGAAUAAUAAUUCAUUUUCUGUAAAGUCGUAAUGACCCAAUUUACAUUUUUUUUAAUACAAGUUCUAUGUUACAUGAAGGGUAGUUGUUAUGUAGGAUGAUAUUUAGAUUUUCUAUUUUUUUUUGUAUUUUGUAUAAUCCAUAGGCCUAAUCUUCCAAACACCUCAAGACAUUUUGAAACAUAAGCUCAGGGACAUUCUCAAAGUGUCUCUCCUGCAUUCAUUCUCUUUUAAAUGUUGUCAUAUUGUGAUAUCAUAAAUGUAGAGUAAAUUCAUAUGAACAAUUUCCCUUUAUUUCCCUCUUACUUUCACUAAGAUAUUUGAGUUGAUUAUAUUUUCAGUAGUAUCUUAUGCUGCAUUCUAUCAUGACCGAGAUAAUGUAGAAAUCAAAAGAAUUUACAAUUGGCUGAGAUAUUUUAGCACAAAGUGUGUACCUGUAAAUUGAAUAAUGCAUAUGUAAAUGUGUACCAUGCAAACCCAAUAAACAGAACAACCAAA